rnacentral:lncRNA from 1 species
AGAUCAGGAGGGGAGAACGAUGGCAAAUGCACAGCACAACUUAGUCACCAUUUCCUGCUGAGAACUCAACUUGUUGUACUGAUCUUGUUAUUAUAUUGCUUUAAUCAACUGAACAUAACAGUAAUUUCACAAACUAACCAACUAGCCAGGAAAAAGAGGGGUUCUUGAAAAAAGUGACAAUAUGACCAUGAAAUUUUUGAGAUGCUAAUACUCAAAAGAAAUCUGUGGAUAUAUAAUCUUAUUUUUUUUCUUAGAAAUAUUAGGAAUACUGGGGAAGAACAAUAAUUAGUUUUGAUCAAAAUGAAAGAACAAUCAAAUAUAGGCCUAAAUUUUACCAAUUCAUUAACAAUAGUAGUAUUAUUAAAUCACAGCACAUUCCUGCUGUGUGCAUGCUACCAAUCAUCACAAGAUCAUCAAGCUCAUCAUCACAAGAUCAUCACCUAUACAAACUGACUCUUGUCCUUGCAAGAUUCUUCAUUAACCUCACUGUUAAUAGAGACAUUUGAUUUUUAUUACUGAGAGUGAAUUAAAAUUCUUUGUGCUUUUACAUAUAUGUGGGGGUGUGUGCACAUGUUUCAUGUAUCUGUAUGUGUGCAUUUUUCUAUUUUUACAGUAACCUUAAAGGAGAUUUGAAAAAAUAGCCAUAUAGGGUAGCCCAUGUUAUUAUUUUAACUAAACAAUAUAAAAAGACACUGAGUGUUAUUUUAUUACUGAUUGUUAUUUUAUUUAACAACAUUCAUUCCAAAAACUCUGAGACUUUCUAGACCAAUGACUUUCAUUUCUGUUAGGCCCUUUAUGACUGAUUUUGGCUUCUUGUUCUAAAGUAACUUGUAUACCAAAAUGAGAGACUGUAUUACCAAACAACUUAUUGUAAAGUACAUUCUAGGUAACAUUGUCUCAGAAAAUGCCAUGAAGCAAGUCUAGGUUUCUUUUUACUACAUGUUGACACAUCAAAGGGAAAUUACAAAACCUACAGAUUCUCUGACUUCACUUUUUAAUAUUAUUUCUUCCCACACAAGCCAAUGUUGAAAAUUAACUAGAUCUCAAGUGGAAAAUAAUUGAGUUAACUGACUCUCCAAAUAUGAUCUUCAGAGAAAUUAGGAUGGAUGUAUAAACUCGGAAUUAAGUACGAUUGAGCAUAAACAAUUCUUAAGCUAUGAAAC